UGCCACAUCCCGUUUGGGGGUGGAUCUGACGUCCCUGAGUGUAUGUGGUGAACCUGAAUUUGCCUUGGGUUUCCUCAUAUUCAUUCAGGAGUGUCAGUUCCCCCUUUACUCAACGUUGGAGAAC
rnacentral:precursor_RNA from 15 species